GACGAACGCUGGCGGCGUGCCUAAUACGUGCAAGUCGAGCGGAACUGGGGGAGCUUGCUCCUUCCAGUUUAGCGGCGGACGGGUGAGUAACACGUGGGCAACCUGCCCUGCAGAUCGGGAUAACUCCGGGAAACCGGUGCUAAUACCGAAUAGUUUGGCGCCUCUCCUGAGGCGCCACGGAAAGACGGUUUCGGCUGUCACUGCAGGAUGGGCCCGCGGCGCAUUAGCUAGUUGGUGGGGUAACGGCCCACCAAGGCGACGAUGCGUAGCCGACGUGAGAGGGUGACCGGCCACACUGGGACUGAGACACGGCCCAGACUCCUACGGGAGGCAGCAGUAGGGAAUCUUCCGCGAUGGACGCAAGUCUGACGGAGCAACGCCGCGUGAGUGACGAAGGUUUUCGGAUCGUAAAACUCUGUUGUGAGGGAAGAACACGUACCAACUAACUAUUGGUACCUUGACGGUACCUCACCAGAAAGCCACGGCUAACUACGUGCCAGCCGCCGCAGUAA
rnacentral:rRNA from 1 species